UAUAUAUAAUAAUAAUGAGAUGUUUAUUAUAAUGUUAAUGUUAGUACAGCCAACGUACAAAAUCGUCAUCCUUUAUAUCGUCUAUGGACUAGUCAACUUUGUGAUUUCUUUUGAUUUACAACUUCAGUAAAGGUGGUAUAGCCGUGUCGCCGUACUACGACGUCAUAAUCGAGGAAACUUAGGCCGAAAACGGCCAGAAAAUGAUCAAAAACUGUGGGCAAUUUAAACGCUGAAUGUGUCGAUAUCGAAGAAUCGUCGACGUCGGUUUAUGUUUUGGAUUAGCGUGAACUAACUGAUGUAUUCAUGUAUUUGAAAUCAAAGAGAUGUGGAGUGAUUUUGACCGGUUGGAUUGGUGGCCAAAACCACUGCAUACCACGGUACAGGAGCCUGUAGAAAAAACAGUAAUGCUAUAUUAGUGUUUCUUAUGGGUUUGGAUCGGUUUUGAUAUUAUGUGAUUACGAUGCGAAAUAAAUUUUAAAUAUUAUUCCAUACGCAAUACAAACAUACAAUUUUAUUCACGAUGAAAAGUAUCGAGCCGAAAGAUUUCAAAUGUUCUGCCUUUUAAAGUGACAACACGUUUAGAUAAUACAUAACAAAAAAUACUACUGCACUUUUCGACGUUCUUUAAU